GGCUGUGAAUGCUUCAGCCAAACAGACACGCCCUUCCCCAGGGUCUCAGGCUAGUCAGAAUUUGAGAAGAUCUUUGAUGUUUAAUAAAACUGGCUUCUAUGUGUCCCCUUUAAAAACAAAUCAAAAUGAGCCCAAAUCCCAGACGCGACCUGCCCGUCGCAUGUGUGUGUUAGUCAGCUGGGGCUGGGUUAUCCCUCAGUAAACAGACAUCCCCAAAGCUCAGUGGCUUAAAACCCAAAAGGUUUACUUCUCUUUCUUACUACACAUCCACUGUGAGUGAGCCAGGGCCCUUCUCCACACCAGCCUCACCCCAGGAUGGAGGCACCCCGGGCAGACAGCUUCCCCAGGUCGCUGGUCCCCAGGCCAGAUGUAAAGAGAUGACAGUCCAGGUUCCCGAAACCAGAGCUUGAGCAAAGCAAGUGCAUCAGUGCUUCAGUGGUGAGUGCAUCCCCAAGAAACGGAGGAGCUUCUGGGGAGAGCAAAGGAGUGUCUGGUCUGCUGGAAAUGAAGGCCAAAUCAAGAAUCCCCCUUCCCCAGGCCAUGAGGUCUCCUCGGAGGGGGGAGGCUGUUAGAGACAGGUUUCAUCGGGGUGGGCUGGCUUUGGCCUCCCUCAUGUGCAUCAUGACCAAGCGGCCUGUGAAGAGAAGGUCCCCGCCCACCUGGCAGCGCCUGCCCUGAGGCUGGCCGGCCUUCCUGGACCUGCCUGAACUGGCACCACCCAGUUUCCCCACCAGCCCAGCCUCUGCUCUUCUUCCCGCCUCCACCAUGUGCCUCAGCACUGCAGGACGCCUUGGCCUUGGUGCUCUCAGGUCAGAAGCAUCCACACACCCCUGGGCCACGUGGAGGCCGUGUGGGGCACCAGGAAAGGAUUCUGCACUUUCGGGAUUACCGGCCUGAGGCGGUAGAAUUGGGGAGGGGCUUGGUCGCCUGUGAGCAGGACUUCAGAUCCCGAAUCAUCGCAGGGCAGCCCGCUCAGUGCCUGGAGGGCAGCGUGAUGAGAAGGGGUUCAGAUCUGAGCCCCCCAGUUACUGGGCCGUCUUGGCACAAGACAGACUCUCCCAGCCUUGGUUUCAGUGUCUGUAAAAUGAGGAUGACGUGGGCCUGACCGGCUUAGAGGGAAGGCCCUGGCACGUCCUGGGUAACGUCUUGUUCUUCCCACCCCCUGGGCUGGGUUCCUGGUGGGCAGACAGCUGGCUCAGUCUCCAUCGCAUGCGGUUGGAACCCCAGCGAUGCCCCACACGUGCUUCCCCCGGAGCUGCAGCCUGCGAAGCUCGGCCAUCAUGCAGGACCGCAGGCCUUCCUGGUGCUCCGCGGGGCUGUCAGCUUACAGAGUCCUUCUGUUUGUCCAGGUUAGCCCCAGCCCUCUGGGGCCAGCCAUUGGGCAUCCUGGACGUGAAAAAGGGCCUGGUGUGCAGCCGUCGGCGGCCCCCUCACCUCCUGGGAGCCACUGCUCCUCUUCAGAUGAUGCCAGAGUCCCCUGCUGGGGCCUGGGAGGUGGCCCCCCCGCCCCAAUGGUGCUGUCUAGUUUUCCAGGCGCCACUGCUCAUCGGAAGGACUGCUCUGCGCAGGCCCCUCCCCCGGGAAGGAUGCGUUGGUCAGAAGUCUCCCCACACCCCAUCGCUCCUUAACCCCCUUCCUUGGGAUUCUCUCAAAUCUUUGUCCUUUACACUUUUUAUUGAAGAAUAAUACACCCCAACUAUUUCCCCUCAGCCAAGAAUGGGUUCAUGGCCACAUAUGAAGGGCACCUGAGGACAUAGCUAGUGAUGCUGGCUCUGUCACUAGCUUGCAGGUGACCCUUAGGACUUGGUGCGGUCUCCCGGGGUGGCUUCCUUAUUUCUUCCAGGAGGUGGCAGGGUGGCUGUUCCGAGGAGAUGGGUGCAGUGCAGGGAGUCCAGCGUAUGUGGCUGAAGCCGUGGCGUUGGGUCAGGCUGGGGAGUCGGGGAGAGGGCUGGGGAGGUGAGCGGUGUGCACCCAGGGGGCCGGGCCAAGCAGAGAAGGGUUUACAGAAGGGAGCAGUUUGCGGGGUGGAGAGACUGAGGUCAGCCCAUCCCAGGUGUGUCUUGGGAGAAGCAUGUCCGUGGGAGUCGGGUGAUGAGGCUGCGGUUGAGUCAGUCUGCCUCCGAGAAGAGCCGUGAGCUGGGAGGAGGAGGGGAUGAGGGGCGAGGUGGCCGGAAGGGCUGUGAGCCGCAGGGUGGGGCUUUGUGGUCUAGCCUGGGCCAGGGACCUGGCGGGUCACGUCUGUGUCUGUGUGGUGUGUGCAGGGCUGACUGCCUGGGCCGUUCCUGGCCUCUGCGCAUGCACCCUGACCCACUGGCCUCUCUCUGUGGUUUGCAGAUGGGUAAACUGAGGCAAGAGCCACCCAGGCCCAGGGGGAGUGGAAGACGGUGCUGUAACUCUCCCUGGUCUUUCAUUCAUUCACACCCCGUGCAGCUCUCCCCCGCCCUGCGGUUGGCCAGUCCGUGGUGGCAGCUGUGUGGUGAUGCUUCUCUCGUCCCGUCCCUGACCCCUCCUGCUUCCCCAUCGUGUUCCGGCCCCUCCAGUCCCCACCACGUGCUCACUGAGCUGCCUGGACCGCAGCCACACCCUAGGGCCUUUGUCCAGUUUAUCGUCUUUUCUUUUUUUUUUCCUUCACAUCUCCUUGCCACAGGUGCUGGGAGGAGGCAGGCGAGGGUCAUCCUGCAGAGCGAGACUAGAGACAUCAAACUUCCUCUUUCCCUUUCGCUGCCCUGGAGAUCAGGGAACUCCCACGUGUGGUAACUCUGCACAGCCCAGCUGCCCAAACUUCAGGACAGGGUUGAGGGCAGCAGAUGCUGCAGGCCUGGGGGUGGGGGACAAGCCGGAGAAGACCCCCCGAUUCCCGCUGACCCCGAGGGUCUCGGGGCUCACCGAGUAGGAAGCAAAGCGAUGCCUCGCCUGGUCCAACCCCUCUUCCCUCUUCUGUCAGCUGACCUUGAGGCUGGACGUGACUGUGAGAUGAAAUGUUCGUUUCUGCUUUUAAAACAGAAAACCAAACAGAAACCAUUGUCCAGUGAACUCUCAGCCAAUCCGGGAGCAGAGCACUGGUUGGAGCCAGGGGCCUGGGCCCACGUCCUGGCCUGACCACCAGCCGGCUGAGUGACCACGGGCAGGUCACCCAUGUGUCACGGCCUUGGUUUCCACACUAGUGAGUUGGUCAGGGGGGGAAGAUGUUUCUCCACGGCGUCUCUGGUUUUCAACAUCAUGAGGCUGAGUCCUGGUAACAUGGUUGCGAGCAAGUAAUACGGUCUUAAAGUAAGUUACCAAAAAAAGUGCAACUGUUCUGGUUUUUUACAAUGCAAGUGUUUUAUUUUCAAAGGUGACUUGGAAGAUGCAGCUGUCCCAAAGGGGAAGAAUAUUUUCUUAUGCCACAAAAGAGGUUGGAACUGAUGAGGCUUAAACUCACAUUUAUAUUUCAGAUAGAAUUGGAGUCUCACUUCCCCCUUUCAGUGCUGGAGCGAAUUAGUCACGCUUCCUCGUGGACGUGGAGGAGAGAUCUUCUGUGCUACUCAAAGGCCCUUUCAAAAAGUUCUGGGGACAAGCACCGUGUGUGUGUAUGAGAGAGAGAGAGAGACAGAGACAGAGAAAUGAAGAGGGAGAGAGAGAGAGAGGGACAGAGAGGGAGAGAGAUGGGAGAUGGAAAAGAUGUGUGGACGGGGUGGAAGGAACAAAAUGAUUAAGACACAGUCGCUGACCUCAAUGGUUUGCUGUCCGAUGGAAGGGCCUAACAUGCUGACAAAUAUAACAAUAUACAACGUAGAAUGGGGCUAUAAAUAAAGGGUCCUGGGGAGAAUGAUGGAAACCCUGGUUAAUUCUUGCUGGAGGGAUCCAUGGAAGACUUCCUGGAGGAGGUGGCAUUGGCAUGUGAGUUUUCUCUUAAGGGUGAGCUGGAUAUCUGUGGGUAGACUGGGAAGGCGUCUGGGCAAAGGAAAUAGCAGCGGCAGAGGUAGGCUGCUCCCUCCCUCUCCAAGGCUUGGGGCUCCGGCCCUGCCCUCUUCAGGUCACCCUUUUCUCCCCAGAUGGGGCAGAGCGCACAGCAGGCCGGGCCCCAUGCCUGCCCGGCCCCUCCCCCCUCCCUUGGGCGGCACAGGGGCGGCUGUCCGCGGUCUGCAGGCAGCGAAGGGGGGGCUUUCACUUUGCUUGGCAGGAUCUUUUCUUAGAAUCACAGUUGGUUCUUGCAAAACUUUCCUGUCACAUAAAAGCCAAGAAGACAGUUUUCGAAAAGCUUUACGUGCAGAAAAGGAAUGACCGAGGAAGGAUGCUGUGUCACUGAUGAGGCUGUCUCCACCCCUCCGUCCCGUCCCUUUAUCGCUGGGAUGGCGGCAGGGCAGGCAGCGAGGAGGCCGCAGAGCGGCAGUGAGCGCAGCCACGUCCUUGGUGGACAGAAGCCCUUCACCAGUGCUGACCUCUGCUGUCCGUCCAUCCGGCCCUCAUCUGUGCAGCUAACUUCCAGCGUCAUCUUCAACCCACCUCAGGGCUGGGAGUUCUGAAGGACGGAGUGGGGAGAGGAAAUGAGACUGAAAGGGGAGACGGUGGAUCCUUCCAGGCCAGAGUGGCCCCCAAAUGAUGACAUCUGGGGGGACCUUCUGCUGCAGGGAGGCCCGAUGGGGUAGUGAUAGAGCAGGCGGGCCCUGGAGCAUGCCCUCCUGGGAGCAGAUCUUGCCGUCUCCCCCCGACGACUGCGUGAUCUUGGGAACUGACCUUACUUCCUGGUGCUUUAGUUUCCUCUCCUGUAAAAGGCUCAGUAAGACUUCCUGUCACGCGGAGCGCUCUGAGGACCACGGGAGAUGGAGCACAUACCGAGUUUAGAACAGGGACUGGUGCGCACACACCAGGGACGUCACCGACGUCCUGGGACUCCUGCAUCUCACCUUCCCCGGGGGCCUCCUGAAACAACGGGGCCUCAGCCCAAUUUCUGGUUAUAAAACCACCGGGCACGUUUAUUCACUGGGGAAGAGACUGCUGAAGGACAAGACUUCAAACCCGGAAGUGCACGGACUCUUUAGUUAAUUUCCACAAACGUUUCCUGAGAGCUGUCAUAUUUCAGAAGCUUUGAUGGGCUCCAAA